CGCCCCGGGAGGGGCCGGGCGGCCGAGCUGCGCCUCUCACACUGUGUGUUUUGUCUGUUUUUCUCUCCCAAGGUCCCGUUUCCCUCUGUGCGGCGGCCGGCGGGACCAUAAGGGCUUAACUCAUAUAUUUAACCCCCCUCCAAAAAGGUUUCGUUGGAAGGAAUUAUGCAAAUCCUGCUUUCUGGUGUCCAUUCAGCGGCAAUUUCAUGCGGUGAGAAGUUCUCUUUGUUGUGCGAGGGGGAGAACAGACACUGAUUUAAUAGACAUAUCUGUUGGGGGGAAGGGUGGAGGGGGUGUGGAGAGGCUCAGUUUGGAAGAAUUACAGCACUUGGUUAGCUCAGUGUCUUUGUGUUUGAGCUUUCUGGCUUGACAGGAGGGUAUGCCCUUUACAAUGUCCCACAAGAGAUGUUUUCUGUAAUAGAUUAAAAAGCAAAACUG
rnacentral:lncRNA from 1 species